GAUGAACGCUGGCGGCGUGCCUAAUACAUGCAAGUCGAGCGAACGGACGAGAAGCUUGCUUCUCUGAUGUUAGCGGCGGACGGGUGAGUAACACGUGGAUAACCUACCUAUAAGACUGGGAUAACUUCGGGAAACCGGAGCUAAUACCGGAUGAUAUUUUGAACCGCAUGGUUCAAAAGUGAAAGACGGUCUUGCUGUCACUUAUAGAUGGAUCCGCGCUGCAUUAGCUAGUUGGUAAGGUAACGGCUUACCAAGGCAACGAUGCAUAGCCGACCUGAGAGGGUGAUCGGCCACACUGGAACUGAGACACGGUCCAGACUCCUACGGGAGGCAGCAGUAGGGAAUCUUCCGCAAUGGGCGAAAGCCUGACGGAGCAACGCCGCGUGAGUGAUGAAGGUCUUCGGAUCGUAAAACUCUGUUAUUAGGGAAGAACAUAUGUGUAAGUAACUGUGCACAUCUGGACGGUACCUAAUCAGAAAGCCACGGCGAACUACGU
rnacentral:rRNA from 1 species